AUGAUAUUCAAAGCGCCAGACUCUUGAAUGAGUGACGAGGUGAGAGGUUAUCGAAGUUUUCGGCGGGUGCCUCUUCGGUCAUACUGAGAUCGAAACACAAGGACAAAUAAACAAAUCCCUUGUGAAUCAGUAAC
rnacentral:ncRNA from 1 species